rnacentral:rRNA from 1 species
CGGAGGGAUCAUUACACAACAAAAUAUGAAGGCCUGGCUUUCGCGGCCGGCUGAAGUAUUUUUUUCACCCAUGUCUUUUGCGCACUUGUUGUUUCCUGGGCGGGUUCGCCCGCCACCAGGACCAAACCAUAAACCUUUUUUUCUUAUGCAGUUUCCAUCAGCGUCAGUAAAAACAAUGUAAUUAUUACAACUUUCAACAACGGAUCUCUUGGUUCUGGCAUCGAUGAAGAACGCAGCGAAAUGCGAUACGUAGUGUGAAUUGCAGAAUUCAGUGAAUCAUCGAAUCUUUGAACGCACAUUGCGCCCUUUGGUAUUCCAAAGGGCAUGCCUGUUCGAGCGUCAUUUGUACCUUCAAGCUUUGCUUGGUGUUGGGCGUUUUUUUGUCUCCCUCUUUCUGGGAGACUCGCCUUAAAACGAUUGGCAGCCGGCCUACUGGUUUCGGAGCGCAGCACAUUUUUUGCGCUUUGUAUCAGGAGAAAAGGACGGUACUCCAUCAAGACUCUACAUUUUUCACUUUUGACCUCGGAUCAGGUAGGGAUA